GUGAGGCCGGCGCGCCUCUCGGGGAGGGCGUGCGUCCCGACAGGACUGGCGCUCUCUCCGCAGAGGGCCGACGUCUCUAUGGUCGGUCCCCCAGGCUCCGCCGCCAUUUUGUACCGGGGACCUUGAGAGACGAGCCGCCGGGCAGGGUUUCGAGGCGGGGUUUGGAGAAGCCGGCAGCGGUUUUGCUGAGGAGCAGUGAAAACAUUGCCAUGAGGCUGGCAUUUGAGAACCAUCUACUUUAUUUUUCUGAACCAUAGCUUGGCCAUCUGUCAAAUAGUUAUACUCUUGGCUGAAGCUAGCGUCUAGCCUUACUGGUGCUCACCACUUCACACUUUUUCAAGAGGAUUUGAUGGGAUGAUGACCCAGAAAGCUGUGCAGUUGCCCCUUUGCGUGGAACCAUCUGAUUUUUGACUUAUAGGUUCUCCUUGGCCUCGUAUCUUGCCUUGCAGAUUUCCCUCCCUUCUGUAAACAGCCUCUGGACUCCAGCUGAGUUCCCCGGCAUGGCAUUGCCGAAAGGCAGGGAAGACAGGCCGCCACAGCAGAACGCCAGACGGACCUGGGGCUCUUGAGCAGAAGCUGACACUUCAGUAAUAGGAAGCUGGCUACAAAGCCCAAGGUCAGGAGCAGCCUCCGCACAAACGUUAAUUAUGCCCCAGAUUGGACACCUUCUGUCUCCUGUGGCUUCAUCCAGACUGGUUUGCACUGUGAUUUCUCGCGUACCGAUCUGUCUCCCCCACUGGAGCCUGAGCUCCUUCAGGGCAGGAAUUAUAUCUAAUGUUUUUCUCCCACAAAGCAAAUUCUACAUAGUAAGUGUUCAACCAACUUGACAUCAAUGGGACCCCAGCUUCCUGAAAAUUUAACAGUGGGCUCACACAUCACUGACAGGACUCCAGAGAAGGAAGACACCACCAACCAGGGGAGGGAGUCGCUUCCAGGACAUGGUACAAGGACCAACUGGAGAUCUCCUUUUCUUUUGUCAGUUCCCUGACGCGGUCUGCUCUCUGCCACCUCCACGCCUUGUGCACACAACCAUAUGUGUCAUUUGAGGCAUAUGAGAAGGAGGAGCGAAGGGAGCCGCUGCUGACAGGUUUGCUCCACACUUGGAAUUCUGCCACAGAAAUUCCAGAGCCUCUGUUGCUCCUCCUGCCCCACCCCACCCCACCCCUAGUCAUUGGAAGAUCUUUUCCAUCAGAGCAUUUGCUCAAGAAUGCCCUUGCAUCGUCCUCCCUAACGUUUGAUUUGACUCUUGGCUGACUCUGUUUGGAAUUCCAUGAAGACUCCUAAAAGCUGGUGGGCAGUGGAGAUGACGGAUGUGGUGGCUUUACUUUGCAGACAGAGAUGUGCCCAGGACCUUUGCACACUGGCCAGGCAGGGCUGGUCCCUGCGACAGGCUUCACUCCACAGGGUUGGCUGCCUGGGCUUGUUUGAGUCAACCUCACAACAGUUUGGAUAAAUGGGCCCCGGAUGUUGGGUGGAUGCCUUGCCCCGGUGUUCACCAAAACUACAUGGCUAAUUUUAUCUCGAUUCAGAAUCUGCUUUCUCUGCCACUGAUUGGCUGAUUGGGGAGACCAGGAUCUCAAAGUUAAAUCUCAAACAGGAGACUGAAAAGCAAGCAAUUUCCAAGGAAGACUUCAAUAUAUUCAUGGGAGUAGGGGGUGGGCAAAUAUUCUCUUUAAAAAAAAACCUAGUGGGGGGAGUUCUUUUAGAAAUUCAUGUGAAAAAGAGAAAUCCUCUUAGCUUCCCAAAUUUGAAGUGGCAUUUAAAUUUAAGUUCUCUUUUACUUAAUGUCAGAGAAGCUUUGAGACAGUCCUUAUUCAUCCUCCAAUGCUUUAUCGUGUUUUCAGCCUGUUUCAAAGGCAGCCAUGUCAGUACGUGCAGUGGAGUGGAGUCUUCACAAGGCAGCUCAUUUGCCUGAAAUGGCUAGGAAAUCACAUCCAAACAAAGAAAUUACUAAGAGCAUUUUCUUCAGGUAUAAAAAAGUGUGGUUUAUUCACCCAGAACUUGGUUUUCUUUGAGGUGUUGAGUGUCCCUUUUGAGACUUAAAAUGCUGCUUUCAUCUGGUGAAAUCUCAUCCCAGCUGGAGUCACGGACACGCUGAUCUGGAGCCCUUAUUGACUUGACAGCCAUCCACAUGCAGAACUACAGUGCUUUUGGCCGCCUGCUUUGUGGGUAGGGAUAACAGGAUAACCCACAGGAUUUACCCACAGGGUAAAUGCAAGAAAAUUCACUGGAAUGUCUUGUGCUGAUAAUUUAACAAAAUUCUCCCUCCGGCACUUUCUGACAGGGCAUGGGGAUUUUCUCCACUGUCAUCACACUUCAGGAGCGAUUGUGUCAUCCAGGUGCAGGUGUUCUUGGCUGUCCUUUACCUGUUGUCUCCUCCUGUCACAAAUAGCCCGGAAAGAACAUGACUGGUCCAUCUCUAUUAAUGGGGAAUUACCAAGUGGUUGCCUAGCAACUGGCACAGGGCAUCAAUAUGGUCUCUGUGGUGGAAUGUAGAGUGGUUGGCUCGCCUUUCAAGAAUGACUGUAUUUGCAUAUUUCUUUUGGGCUUCUAGAAAAAUAGGUAUGUUUUCCUGGAUUUGAGGCUAUUAAAAUGGCCUUUUGUAUUGCUUUACCCCAGUGUUCAUCUUAUAGUGGCCCAGUAUCAUAAAAAGUGACAACUAUCUGAUCAAAUCAUUAAUACAGCAAUUGCUUCAAUUAAAUUCAAUUCAGUAAGCAUCUUCUACGUACCAGAUACAAUGCUAGAUACUGCAAGGACUUAUAAGGAUAAAUAAGUAUGGUCCCUGGUCUCAGGGAGCUCAUGUGUUUAAUAGAUAUGUAUACAUCAUUUGUUUACACGUGUGAAACAGACAGCUAUGAUGUAUAUGUAAAAUUAAGGUAUUUUUAUUUGGAAGGUUUCCUUUGUGUUUGAUCAAAGGAUUUUUCACUUUUAUUUAGAUUCCUACCUUUAUAGCUUACAGCUGCAAUCAGUUCAAAAAGCUGCAAUCAGUUCAAAAUCACUUUUAAGACAUGCUCUUACUGGAAUCUCAGUAAUUAGCAGCUCUUAAAUAGCUCUUGUUGGAGCUGACACUGCCAGUGUAUUCGGGCGCUGCCCUGCGUCUGUUCUGUAGUCUUCCCGCGUAAUUGCUUGUGAGCUGUUCACAGCCUCCCCGCCUCUAUUUUACACAUUCCAGUUUAAAAAGAAGUCCCUUGCCUUUCUUUGUCUACUUUGCAGCAUGCGAUCAGCCUCUGUGCACUUAAGGAGGGACUUUGGAAUGUUCCAGAUCUUGCAUCAGGGAGUCCUUUGAUCACUUGAGCUAACUUCUUUCCCACUGGGGAGGCAGUUGCUAUACAAAGGGGUUGACUAGCCCCUUUCCCUUGAGUUGAUUUGUCUGCUGGAUUGGUUUGGCAUCUUCUUCUUCUUCAGGAAGGUGCCAGGGCAUGGUGUGAAGCAACUGUUCCCGACAGCAGUGGUGCACAAUGCUGUGCACACUCAUUCGAUGCCCCUCCUGAGUGGACGAUAUCGGGAAUCCACAAAGAAAAGAGGAGGCUCUUAUGGGUUGUGGCACUGUGGCACCAGGAUGCUCCGACACCACCUUGCAUUAGCGCUCUGUGGCUUCUCUGUUGCCCUCCCAGAUCCCAGUGCAGGGCCUGCAUUUUGCUCGUUUUCUCCACUAUCCACCUCUCUCAGAUCCUUUGCCAUUCUUGAGAAAUCAUUCAGACCUCUUGUCUUCACGCAGAGCACCUGCCCUUUGCUUCCAGACCCAAUGGCACGCAGAAGUUAGGGGACAAAGGGGAGAAGGGGCCUUAUGGGACCAGCCCCUGUACAUAUGUUCUCUUGAUGCUUCCUCCUUUCAUCCUCAUAACAGUUUCUCUGGAGCCCCUCGUAGCCCAGGCCACAGACGAAGCUCAAAAAGUGCUAACACAUAUUGCUCUAAAGAGUACUAACAUAUUCUCCUGUCUCAAGACAGCUUUUCACUUAUGAUCAGACCAAGCGAUAUUGACUAUGUACUAGGUACCUCCUAAGGGUCAGGGACACUGUGGAGAAUAAGACACAGUCUCUACCCCUGAGAAGUUCACAGCUGGGUUUUGUUAAGUGCUGUAACGACGAAAUGGAACACACACGGAAGGUCAGUGGAUUUAGGUGUAGGGUGGGCGUUCAGGAAAAGAGAUGUGGGGCACCAUUUCAACUAGACCUGGGAGGCUGGCAGACCAGGGGGCCUCUCUAUUUACCUUUAAAAAUGGCCAUAGCGCAGAGAAGCUGUUUCCCUUUGAUGUUGGGAAAUCCUUUACUGCUCUAAUCUAAAUCCUUUACGCUGCUGCAGUUUACCCCAUAUUCCGCCUCAUUCCAACUUUAGUUGGAAUAGCAAAAACCUCUGCCUAAUAACCUAGUCAUGCAGAAGCCUUUAGCAAAUCAUAUCUGGUACUCUACCCUAACAUGGGAAAAACUAUUUAUUUUCCUCCUACCCCAAAACCCUGUGGCUAGACUUCUCUAGCCACUGCCCCCACGAAGGAUAGGGGGAGGCAGGGCCAUGAGUUAGUGGGAAUUCUGCCCCAGAUCUGCACUAUAAGCAUCUUUCAUGGCAUUUUCACUAAAGACAGGAUUUUUGAAUUUGGAUGACAUAGAGAAGAGAAGACUAAAGGGCAGUGUUUCACAACACCCUGCUACCAGACUUCACCAGCCUGCAGGUGCCAUGAGGUCCUACCAACAUCCAGACCUCAAUUUCUUUAAUUCUGAGUCCCCCACAAAGGUCUGUAGAACUUGCUACUCGUCCCUUCUCCCUGCCAACUCUUCCUCAGCUAUUUCUGGAUGCCCCUGAGGUAUCUCCCAUAGGUUCAUGGGCAGACCCACCCUGCUGUCCCACUGCCACCUCCCCACUGGCAGUCCAUCCUUCACGGCCCCUUAAAAGAGAUGCUCAUCAACAUGUGUGUCCGCUGGAAGAACACCGUUCUUCUAAUGGUCACUCCUGUUGCUCUGCUAGACACAGCAUCCUCUCCUGGGGCCACUCUAACCCACCAACGUGGCAAAGUGGAGGGUGGGUAGAGCGUUGGAAACAAACGACCUUCUCACUGAUUGGCUGUACUGUGACCUGUGUCCCAAAGCAAAACUGCUUGUAUCUUUAGUUGCUCAAAGUCUUACAUGAUUACUUCUCUUUUCAUUAUCACCCUAACUCUUCCCUCACUGGGGCUCGAAAUGGUGCUGAUAAUGUCUGCCCUCCUUUCCAGGUUCGUGAGAAUGGCAUGAGAGAAAAAUAAUAAUAUAAAUAAAAAGCGCUUUGCAA
rnacentral:lncRNA from 1 species